AGCACAGGCCAUCCAUCUUCUAGAAUGAGUCACCAGCUGAAGGGGUAAGGGGCUGAAUCAAAGCCUGAGGGUCAACCCAGAGAGACUCUGCCCUUUAAAGCAAAAGCCCAGCUGUUCUAGGACGGGGGAAGCAUGGGUGAUGGGUGAUUUUACUCAGAGGCGCAUGUGCUGAUCUUGACAGAUAGAAACAUGUACUUCUCUCUUUCUCAUUUUGACAAUGAGUCACAAGACAAAACUGAGUCUUCUCUUCAUUGGCAUGCACCCUGUUUAGCAAAGGGCUGGGCACGGGGUGGGCAUUCCCAUUAAUAGCUUGUUCAGUAGUAAAAACCAAAUUUGUCUCAUUCAUUCAUAAAAUAUUAACUAGUUAAUUAGCUAAGUAGUUGACAGUAAACUGAGAUUGCUAAAAUUGUCAUGCAAAAAAGCAAUGAUUUUUCUUCUUGUAGGAAGCAACCUGGCGGAGAGACUGCCAAUAAUUAAAGAAGAUACUUGAGCGUACAAGGCCCACCGGAUGUCUGGACUGCUUGGGGGAUUAAGGAAACUUUUGGUUCUGGGGUACAUGUGCAGAUCAUGCAGGAUUGUUGCACAGGAGGUGGUGAGGAUGAGAGGAGGCCAGGCCUGUGCAGAAAGCAGUGUCGUCUGGUUAUGUGGUUUCUCCCCAGUGAACACAGCUCAGAAGAAGAUGGGACCGAGGAACUAAUUGAAAUCACAUCUUCCUUUUCUUAUUGAGUAGCCAAGAAAUAGGAACAUCCGUAAGGUCAGGAAACCUGACCAAAUCUUAACUUGCAGGUGGAUCUAUGCUUGAGAUUAUGUUUCUACACACUAGAUCACUUAAAAGAAAGGAGUGGUGAUUCCCUGUUUUAUUAAUUAAAUUAUUCAUUUAUAAACCCACAUUGAUUAGCGCCUCUUUCUGUCUGGCAGUGUAAUAGGUGUGGCACAUUGCCAUGUAAGCCAGCACACAGGCCCUGCCCCUAGAGGCCCAGGCCCAGGUGGGCACACCUCACCGUGGAUGGAACACAUUAGUGGUGCUCUACAUGAUCAUGAACACUCCACGUUCUUCUAGAAUAAAAUUUAAUACUCUUAGAAUAUUACGUGUGAUUUAGUUCUGAGAAAAUCAGUAAGCAAUAAUAAAGACACCUUCCCUUUCAGCCUGUACUUAGUAGUAGGUUGAACCAUAUAAAGCUGCAGGUUUUGCAGGUAGAAAUGAUCAAAUAGUGCCAAUAUCAAAUGGUCUAGCCUCAGUAGCUGAAAACAUCCCUGGACUGCCUCCUCCCAGGGCAGGACAGAGAUACAGGACUCACAGCUCAGCCUUACGUUCAAAUCUGCAUGCAAGAGUUCCUCCAAGGUGAUAUUGUCCCUCAUCUACAGGCACACAGGAGCUCUCUGCUCUGCCCGGGCUCCCACUUCUGGAAAGGAAGGCAUGGCUUCAAGUUGGCUGGAAGUCGUGCUAUCUCCCAUCACCCUUAUUAAAGCAGAAGAUUAAUAUGGCUCCCUCUACACACGUAGUUAGAAUGGCAGAACCUUAACCCCUCACUGAUUCCUUUGAGAUUGUUCUUCACGGCCUAUCCAUCAAUGUCUUUUGUUUACUUUUGUUGUUUUUCUG
rnacentral:lncRNA from 1 species